UUUUGUCUAAAGCGACAUAUGACAAAUGGAUGCUGUUCUCUCCCAGCCCAUUUGAUAUCUUUGACAUUGGCUGAUCUUUGGUUUAUUGGAAAGGACAGACCCGGACACGUCUAAAUUACACACAGUGGCGCUACGUCUGGAGUAAAAACCAAUCGUUCACUUGAAUAAAAACUACGGAGGAUGAGAGAGAACGAAAUGCAACUGCAUUAUAAAAGAUUGUGGAAGGUAAGAGAACCAGAAAACAUCAAGAAAUGUUAUAAAUAAGAGUCUUCUGCUAAAAAAAACGUUUUUAUUUUAUACAAAUCACCCAUUCACGUGAUGUUAAAUGAAUCUGUAUUGAUUAUUCAUAGACUUAUGGAAGGUAAAUAGUUCACAACCUA